rnacentral:tRNA from 1 species
GACACCAUGGCUCAGUGGUUAGAGCAUUGGACUUUUAAUCAACAAGUCGCGGGUUCAAGCCUCGGCUGGGGCA